rnacentral:lncRNA from 1 species
GUUGAAAAGGAAAUUGGAACAGUCAAAUUGCACAUCGCAUCUCUUCCAUUGGUUGAGACUAAAGGUGGGUAGGCAUCAAAUCUUCAAGAGAGAAAAUUUAUGAGAAGGGGAUUUUGAUCGGUGAAAACAAAGGGAAUAGAAUCAGGGUUUUUAGCAGCGCAAAAUUGGGGAUUUAGGGGAGGGGUGAAAAUAAAACGAGCGUUUAUAUGGAAAGUGUAUCUCAAUUUUUUGCGGCGUUUUUUUCCAAAAACGCCACUAUUGUUAAAUUUUAUUUUUUUUCAUUUUAACAUAUAUUUUUUCUAUUUUUUUUCUUUUAAAAUUUUUGUGUUGAGAUUAUUAUUUUUUGGAAUUUUUAUUUUUUUAAAUUUUGAAUAUUGAUUUUUUAACUGAAAUAUGGACUAAAAUAUUAAAUAUUAAAAUUUUAAGUUUUUAAGUUUUUAAUUUUUAAUUUUUAAUUUUUAAUUUUUAAUUUUUAAUUUUUCAAUUUUUUUGAAGAAUUAACAUAUAAAAUACAAAAGGAAACUUUAAUAGAAAUAAAAUGGAAUCGAUGAAUUAAAAAAAUACAAAAUGACAAAGCAAUAUAAGUAUUAUUCUUUUAAGUAUAAAUAUAUCAAUAUAUUUUUAUAUUGAAUAAAUAUAAAUAUUUAUGUAUGCAAUAUAUAAAUAUAAAAUGAUGUUAUAUCAAUAAUUUUGUUAAUAAUUUACAAGAACUGGAUCAAAUUAAAGUUAAUGUAUACAAUUGCACACUAAACCAUUGUUAGAAAAAGAAACAUUUACCGGGGAUUUUAGAUUUUGAAUUGGGGAAAAAGGGGUGAUUAUUUUAAAGAUUUGGAUUAGGGAAAAUUGGGAAACUACCUCUUACAUAAUCAUAAAUCAUAAACCCUAAACCCACAAUCCAUAAACCUUAAAAUAAUUACUCGUGCACUUUAAACUCUAAACCCUAAACCUUAAACUAUAAUGAUAAUUAAUUCAAUAUUUUAAAAUUAAUACUAUCUCUUUUAUAAUUAUAUAAGAAAAUAUUUAUCAUAUAAUUAAAAAACACUAACUAAUCUAAACCCUAAACUCUUAAUCCCUAAACAUUAAACCCUAAAACAUAAAUCCUAAACCAUAAACCCCUCGCCCUUAACCCUUAACCCCUUACACCUAACCUUAAACCCCAACCCUUAAACCACCUUUAAACUAUAGUUAACUCAUAAACCUUAAACCCAUAUAGCUUAAACCAUAAACCUUAAACUAUAAUGAUAAUUAAUUUAAUAUUUUAAAUUCAAUACUAUUUAUUUUACGAUUAUAUAUAUAAGAAAAUAUUUAAUAUAUUGUAUAACCAUAAAUUUUAAUAAUUAUUGUUUUAGGGGUUAUAGAUUAGUGUUUAUGAUUAUUGUAUAACCAUAUGCCCUAAAUCAUAAACCUUAAACUAUAAUGAUAAUUAAUUCAAUAUUUUAAAAUUAAUACUAUCUCUUUUACAAUUAUAUAAGAAAAUAUUUAACAUAUGAUGUACAUCAACAUCCAUGUGAUGUUUUUUGGGGUUUAGUAUUUUACAGGUUAUAGUUUACGGUUUAAGAUUUUUUAAGGUUUAGGAGUUUAGUGUUUUAAUGAUUAUAGAUUAGUGUUUAUGAUUUUUUUGUGAGUUUAGAUUUUUAGGGGUUAUAUGACUUUUAGCGGCGUUUUACCAAAAGCGCCGCUAAUGCUCCGGUUUUUAGCGGCGUUUUACCAAAAGCGCCGCUAAUGCUCCGGUUUUUAGCGGCCUUUUACCAAAAGCGCCGCUAAUGCUCUGGUUUUUAACGGCGUUUUACCAAAAGCGCCGCUAAUACACCGAUUUCUAGCGGCGUUUUACCAAAAGCGCUGCUAUUGCUUUGGUUUCUAGCGGCGUUUUACCAAAAGCGCCGCUAUUGCUCUGGCUUUAGCAGCGUUUUACCAAAAACGCCGCUAUUGUUCUGUUUUUAGCGGCAUUUUAACAAAAAACGCCGCUAUUGCUCUGUUUUUAGCGGCGUUUUACCAAAAACGCCGCUAUUGCUCUAUGUUUUAUAUUUUUGUGGCGUUUUUUGAUAAAACGCCGCUAAAAAUGCCGUUAAAGCCCUGUUUUCCUGUAGUGGAAAGAAAAACUAAAAACAUUUAGAAAAGAAAUGAGAUCCAAAAACUAAAGGAAGAAAUUGAAAUCUCAGAUCACCUUGAAUUUCUCAUUGAUGUGUAUUCAGUAUAUGAGUGUAAAAAAAAUCCCCAUACAUUGUUUACAAUCGGUAUUCAGUAUAUGAGUGUAAAAAAAAAUCCCCAUACAUUGUUUACAAUCGGCUUUAUAUAGCCAAAACCAAAAAAUGAAAAGAAAUGAAACUAUAAAAUAAUAAUUUUUUCUUUUCUGUUAUUUGUCUGCUGUUGAUUAUCCUUGCUAUUAUUUGCUGUGGUUGUUAGUUUGUUGCAGGUGUGUCCAACUGGAGGACCAACGUGGAGAGCAUGGAGUCUCCAUUUUUUCUUCUUCUUUCUUUUUCCCUUUUUCUUCCUACAUUGUGCUGCCCCUUCAUUUUUCCUACACUAUUGUUGUUGCACAUUGCUGCCAUUUUUAGUUUUAUCUUUCCCAUUGUCACCGUCUUAGUGAAUCCGCCACCUUUUCCGUUGUUGCCCUUUGCUUCUUUGCCUCUACUCUCCUUGUGUUCUUUCUUUUUGGUUAGCAUAGAUCUAAUCAGAAAAGUGUAAGUUGUCUAGAGUCGGUCUGUUUCUAUUCUAUUUCUUUCUUUUUCUGUCGUAGUCGACCUGCAGGGACUAUGGCCGAAUGUUUCAUGUGAUAAUUUUUUUUUAUUUUCCUUUUUCAUAGGUCCAGAUCCAAACUCCUCAGAUCUCUAGUGAGUUUGAGGUCAUUUGUAUUAUUUUUGGUUGAUCGGUAGAAGAGUAAGUGACCCUAGAACUCAAAUCUAAAUUUUAGUUUAUCUCUCUGCUUUGGCCAAACCCUAUAUGGGUGAUUAAGGGGUUGAUUUUCAUGUUUGAUCUCUGUUGGGUUUAUAUCUUAAUUGGGCUUAAUCAGAUCUAAAGUGCAAGAUUCGCAGUAUAGUAAUAAUAUCUGGUUUUCGCGUUAAUCAGGUGUGGGUAUUACCUUUGGGUGCUUUAGUAAUUAUUGAAAUGAAGUAUUAUGCAUGUUAAUCAAUCGUACAUGUUGAUUUUGCAUGGUCUAAUGGCCUUAAGAUGGAUUAGGGGUUGUCGACUAAGGCAAGUGCUAAAAGGGUGAUUUCCAUAUGUUUAAGGGCCUUUAUUGUGAUUAAAUGAUUGUGUGGGUGCCAAUUGUAAUUAUUGAAUAUAUGUUACUGAAUUUUAUGAUGUGUUAAUGUUUAUUGAUUGCAUCAAUAAGCAUGCCAUUGAAUCUUACUAUGAAUAUUGGAUGCAUGCAAAGCAUGCCACUGAAAUUGGUAAGCUGAAAGCAUGUUAAGCAUGCCAUUAUUAUUGAUACAUUUACUGGUUAGCAUGAUAUGCUAUAUUAUUGAUAUGUCACAUUGCAUUGUAUGAGUUUUGGAUAGAUUGGGUGAUGAAGGAGUUCUAUGGACUACCGAUGGUUUAUUCGUAUUAUUGUUUAGUAGUAUAUCUACGCCUCAGAAUAUUUUUGGAGUACUGGUGACUUGUCAAAACUUACUGGCAGUUUUUCUACAAAUUAUUGGAUGUUUUAACUGCAUAUUGUUACUAGUGGUGUAUCCACAUCGAGCUUCAGCUCUUAUUGCUUUGGUGUUCGGAUGACGAGUUCUGGGAACUCAUCGUGUGUAGGAGAUGGAUGGGUAGGACUUUUGCACUUUUUCAUAUGCGCAUGCCAUGUACAAAACACUAUAAUUCCAUGAUUUACUGUAUGAACUGUUAUUAUAGUUGUAUGCAUCAUUGAAUGAUUGUAUGCUUAUGCAAUGCUUAUUUUCACUUAGACUCACACUAAGCUUUUUAAGUUCACCCCUAGUUUACUCAUUGCAGGUAACCCUUAAGAUUAGGUCUGGACUAGCAUUCAAAGGUCUUAUCUCUUAUUUUCUAUUAAUAAAGUAUUUUUUUAAUUAUACUUUAUUUGUUUUGGAUUUUGAUUUUGGGACUGUAAAUUUUUAUGGACUAUGCAUGAGUUGUUUUUAUUUGUGUUUUUUUGCAUGCAUGGAAAAUUGGAUGAAAAUCGAGAAAAUUUAAAAAUCGGCUUAUUAUGACUUAAAACAAAUAUUUUUUUUUACAAAAAAAAAUUAAAGUAACACUUUUUCCGCUACAAAAUGGUGAAAUGCAGCUUUUCUAAUGGUUUACUGAAAAAAAUCAAUUGAGCUUUUCUUCAAACAAUGCAACUUUCUAAUAAAUUGGACUUAAAUUAUAAAUGACCUAACAAUCUGAUGUUUUUAAUAAACCUAAGGUAACCACGUUAAGUUUUCUUGAAAAUGAUCGAAUUUAGUGAUUUUUAAACUAUACAGAUUUACUUGGCCAUUUUGAUGGUCAAUAUAACCUUAGAGAUUUGGUUGUAAUGUCUAAGCCGGGUUUGGUAAGUUACAUUUGGUGGUAUUAGAGCUAGGUUCAAUAACUUGGCUUAGAAAAAAAGUUAUGAGACUGCAUGCAUGUUUUUGAAAAGGGUUAUUUUGGAAAAAAAACCUGCCAUAGUGUUUUUAUUAGAAAAUUUUUCAGAAGUAAAAACUCUGAGACUUCGAUGUCAUUUUUAUUAGUACUGUUACUAUUAAACUAUAGACAAACACUAGGACUAAACUACAUAAAAUUUUAAGACUUUAGAAACUGAAAAUACAAAAAAUAACUAGAAUUUGUAUUUUAUGAAAUUGUAGAUAAGAUUUAAAAACGUAAAAAUUGAGAUAACAUAAUGAGUACAUGUGGAACAUGAGCCUGUGGUAUGCGAACUCGUGGUGGGCAUCGUCGAGUGGCUAAAUGUAACACCCUAAACCCAGCCUAGGUGUCAAGACCAAGUCCGAAGAGUUACAUUGACGUUACUGGAAACCCACGUUUAUAAACGCAAAUAAAAGGAAACCAUUCAACACGUUAUAAAAAUCAUAGUAAUCAACAACGUCAUAUUGUCGAGACCAUUUUUAAAUCGAGUUUUGGAAAAUGGGAAUCGACUUUAAGAAAAACGAAAAUGGGAGUCGCCACCAAUCUUUUUAGGUGUGAUUGGAUCACCAAUAAAUCGUUUUGCUUAAAAUCGUUAGUUUUGGUCUACGAGAUCAAGAAAAUGGGUUCGGGAGUCGGUUACAAACGAGGAAGGGUUAGCACCCUCGUAACGCCCAAAAAUUGGUACCUAAUUGAUUAUCAAGUGUCUUUAAUGUCGGAAUUUUGAAAGUUUUAAGAUACAAUCCUCUUUUAUUUAGAAUGUUUUGAUUUGAAAAAUUUAGGUUCGCUUAUUUUAAACGAGUCAAAAUAUCACAUCCAGUAAAUUAAGAAGCAAUAUUUUAAAACUUUUGAAGCUAAGCUUGUCUUUUGAAAAUUUCUAUUUCGAAACUACAAAACAUCAUAUCCAGUAAGUUAGGACACCAUGUUUUGAAAUUCCAAAAUAUUUAUUUGUAUUUUCAAAAUUUCAAAAAUACUUAGAAGGGUGCUAGAUUAUCAAAAUCAAUGAGAAAAGUUGCAACCCAGUAAGUUAGGGCACUACUCUUCUCGAAGCUUACAAAUACUAAACAUUGCAUUUUUUUCUUUUGAAAACUUGGAAUCUCGUCUUUAAAUUGAUGCAUAAGGAAUCAUAUUACAUUAUAAAUCAUGCAUGAUAACAUAUUAUCGCAACAUGUAAAUAAAACAUGCAUUUAAACAAUAUGAUAGCAAUAAUAUAAAGAUCAUACAUUAGAUACGUACAUAUUAAAAAAUAAUAAAUAUAGCAAAUCUUAACCACAUACGUACAAAGAUAUACAUAGCAUAUAUUGAAGAUGAAUAAGCAAAACAUACAAACAUACAAAGUAAUAAUUAAUUUAAAAAAUGAUGCAUGAUAUACAAUUUAAUAUAUAAACAAAAAAAAAUAGUAAUAUAAUAUCUAUGUUCAUAAAAUACAACAUCAAAUAAUAAUUAUAAAAUAACAUUUAAUACAUAAAUGAUAUAUACAAUAUAAAAAUAUAUAAAAGAAUUAGUAUAUAUAAAAAUAUAAAAUAAAGUGAGUAAUUGUUAACAAAAUAUACAUAUAAUACAAAUAAAAAUAUGAUAUUUAAUAAUAAUUUUAAAAUAGUAUUUAAUAUACAAUAUAUAAUAUAUAAUAACAACAAAUUAUAAAAGAAUAAUAAUUAUAUAAAAUAAAAAAAUAUAUUGGUUUUAAAAAAAUAAUAUGUAAAAUAAAAAGUAUGUAGAAGAAUUUAUAUUUAUAAUAAAAUAAUUAUAUAAUAUAUAAAAAUAUCAGUUUAAAAUGAAAUAACACAUAAUAAAUAAAUAAUUAAUUAAUAAUGAAAUAUAUAUAUAUAAUAUGAGUUAAAAAUAUAAUUUAAUAAUAAUAAUUUACAAAUUUUAAAAUUAUAAACAAUAUAAUGAAUAAUAUAAAACAUAAAUAAUAUAAUAGAUAAUAUACUAUAUACAUAAUAUAGAAUAAAAAAUAAUAUAAUAAGUAAUAUAUAAUAAAAAUAAAAAAUAUAAAAAAAUGUUAUAUAAAUAAAUAAAAUAUAAAUAUAUAUAGGAAAGUAAUAUAUGAUAAAUAAAAAAUUUUAAUAUAAAUAUAUAAAUAGUAUUUUUAAUAAUAAUAUAUGUAUAGUUUUUAAAAUAAAUAAAUUAUAUAAAAAAUAACAAAAUUUGAAAUAAUAAAGAAAGGGCUAAAAUUAAAUUUAAAUAAAAUUAUAAGGCUAAUUUAAAAAAUGAAAUAAAUUUAAUUAAAAAAAACUGAAAAUGGAGAAGGACCAAUUGGGAUAUUAUCCCACUUUAUAAAAACACGCGGAUCCUCCCCAGGUAAUCGGGUCAACACGCUGAUCCUUGCCUCGAAACGACGUCGUUUUAGGCUUAUUGAAUUAAAGAUAAAACGGCGUCGUUUUACUGAUGUUAUAAAAAAGAAACUUUAAACCUUUAUUUUAAUCAUUCAAAAAAAGAAAAAAGAGAGAGAGAGAGCUUUAAAAUUCUCUCAGAGCUCUGGUCAGUGGCUGUCCUGGCUCGUCCCGGAGCUCCACCACCUUCAGCCACACGCGCUUCACGAGCCACUGCCUAAGCCAUCGUGCCUGGUGGUUAGGGCUUUCGAAGUUCCAUUUUUUCGCAGCGAGUCGAAAGGGUAACUUCUUUACUAUUUUUAUAAUGUAUUUUUUCUAUAUGUUGUAUCAAAGAAGAACAUGAAUAAUGAAAAGAAAAUUAAAAGUAUCACCUCUGUUUUUCAGUUAACGCUUUGAUUUUUUUUAUAUCUUCUUUUGUAAAAAAAACCGUGCGUUUACAGGUUACAAAGGAGGCUUUUAUGCCAGUGUUUCUAUUACAUUUUGGGAAGAAAUCUUUUAUCUCUUUCCAUAUUUGUUUUGUUUCUUUGCUGCUGUUCUUUCUUUCUUUUGCAGGUAAUCGAAGAAAGUAGACCACAGGCAUUGAUUCGGCCGUAGACCACGGCAUGGUUCGAAGCCCGAGAAUCACGGCACUGAUUCGGGUCGCUGCGAGAUGAACAGACAUGAGUCAAAGGGGCGUGACUCUUGGUCUGAUUGCGGCGUAAACCCUAACUAGGGUUCCCUGAUGCUGAAGACAGAUCGAGCCAAUUGGGCCGAUUAAGUCUUGGGUUUAGAGUAUCAGGGGUAGGGUGUAAAGGGUAUAGGGUAGUUUAGCUGGGUUACGGGUUAAUGGGUUAGUAGGCUAUAGUAUUGGGUUGUGACCAGUCUGUUUGGGUUUGGGUUUAGUAUUCAGUUGGGCUAAAAUGUAAUUUUGGGUUUUGUACAUGGACUGUAAUAAAUAAACAUUUAUUUAUUUAUUUAUUUUUGGUUUUAAGGCCCGGGCAAAAAUGGACUAUUACAGCUACCCCUCUUUGCUCAUUGCUGUGUAACAGGAAUAGAGCAAAGACUAUAAAAGGACCAAUUUUGCCCGGGCUCGCCGAGUCUUAAGUUCUUGAUCCUUGAUCUUCUUUAAAUGGCCUCUUGACGACUUCAAUCCGCUUUACUGCAACUCAGGAAGGCGAUAUCUGCUAUCUUUGAUCUGUUCCUCGUCGAACAUAGAGACGCUAAAUCUGCUUCUUCGAUUUGUUCCCUGACAAUACAAAGAUGCCAAAUCAUCUUAGAUUUGCUUCAGCGUAAACACGUGAAAGCCAAAUCUGCUAUGUCUUCGAUUUGUUCCUUAUAAACACAAGGAUGCCAAAUCAUCUUGGAUCUGCUUCAGUAUAAACAUCUGAAGGUUAGAUCUGCUAUGUGUCUGCUCUCCGUCGAAUAUGGAGACGCCAGAUCUGUUAUCUUAGAUCUGCUUUGGUGUGAAAACAUCUGAAAGUCAAAUCUGCUAUGUCUUCGAUUUUCUUUUUGUAAACACAAGAAUGCCAAAUCAUCUUGGAUCUGCUUCAGUAUAAACAUCUGAAGGUUAGAUCUGCUAUGUGUCUGCUCUCCGUCGAAAUGGAGAUGCCAGAUCUGUUAUCUUGGAUCUGCUUUGGUGUGAGAACAUCCGAAAGUCAAAUCUGCUAUGUCUUUGAUUUGCUCCUUGUAAACACAAGAAUGCCAAAUCAUCUUGGAUCUACUUUAGUAUAACAUCUGAAGGUUAGACCUGCUAUGCUUUGGUCUGUUACCCUACUGCUUAGGGGGUUAAGGCGCAUCAUCUUUGAUCUACAUAACCUGUAGAAUGCAUAUGUGCUCAUGCUUGAUGAUUAGGAUGCUAUAAUCGAAGUGGGUCAAAUGCUCUUAAUUAGGCAUGUUGUGAUGCAAAAUGUUAUGAAUAUGAAUUCUAUUCCAGACGUCACCAGUCAUUCCUUCAUUUAUCUUUACUUCUUUCAAAGUGUUAUUCCUGUUCAGCCUGUAGACUUGUAUCAUUCUCCAAAUGCUACGACCCACUGAGAAUAUCUGUAAGAUGAUCUUUUCUUAGAAUCGAAUCGUUUGAUUUGUCCAAUCAUCAAUUCGGACUGGAAGAAAGAAAUUCCUCAAGUUCUUUCAACCCUCACUUACGUGAAUUUCUCAAACAAUUGUCCAGUUUUAGUUUCUUGUAUCAUCUAGAAAUUUCCAGAGUAAUGCGCAAAACUUCAUUUGUGAAAAUUAUUUAGUUCAUCUAUCAUUAUUUUAAUGCAACAUACUUUAAGAAUAAUGGAAAAUGAAUAAAUCUUGAGAAUAAUUAGAUUUGAAUGAAUUUGUCAAAAAUACAAAGGAAAUUAAUUUGAAAGCCUAUUUUUGAGAAGAAAAAAAAUCUAAAGAUAGCAAACAGGACAAAAGUUAGAUGCCCUAGAUAUCACUGCUUGAGCGUUUAUAUGCCAGCUCCAUGAAGACUUUCUUGAGUUCAACAUGUGUUUAAAAGAUCCAAAGUACUUUGUUGAUGCCCCGAUAUGCAACGCGCUUCUCUCUUCGUUGAAUCAGAUAUAGCAAGAUUACCGUAUGCUCUUUAAAAUUUGAGCUGCCCUUUCGGGUUUUCAACUCAAAACCCCUUUGGUCACAAGGCGUCCUUUGCGGGUUUUCACCUUGGCCUCUCCAUUUUUUAUUUUUUAUUUUAUUUUUCGAAAACUCAAGGCGCCCUUUGCAGGUUUUCACCUUGGAUUCUCCUCUCCUUUAGACAAAGUACUUUUUGACCGAGUCUGAAUUUACUGGGUUGGGUAAACUCUUCCCAUCCAUUUCUGUCAAAAUCAAUGCACCUCUAGAGAAAACAUUCUUUACGACAUACGACCCCUCCCAAUUCGACAUCCAUUUUCCUCUAAAGUCUUUCUGAAUGGGAAGGAUCUUUUUUAGCACAAGGUCCCCCUCAUGGAAUUCUCUUGGUCGCACUUUCUUGUCAUAAGCCCGCAUCAUUCGCUUCUUAUACAUCUGACCAUGAAAAAUAGCCUUUAGCCUCUUUUCCUCAAUCAAGUUCAACUGAUCAUAUCGCGAUUGUAUCCAUUUAGCCUCAUCCAACUUUAUUUCUGACAAGACUUGGAGAGACGGUAUCUCUACUUCAAUGGGUAACACUGCUUCCAUCCCAUAAACUAAUGAGAAAGGAGUUGCCCCUGUAGAAGUUCUGACGGACGUUUGAUAAGCUAAGAGUGCAAAUGGUAGUUUCUCAUGCCAAUCUCUAUAAGUCUCAGUCAUCUUCCCCACUAUCUUCUUGAUAUUUUUGUUAGCAGCUUCUACUGCUCCAUUCAUCUUUGGGCGAUAUGGAGAGGAAUUAUGAUGCUUAAUCUUGAACUUACUACAAUCUUCUGCAAUCAUUUUGUUGUUCAAGUUCAAUGCAUUGUCUGAUAUGAUCCUUUCAGGCAUCCCAUACCGACAAAUGAUCUCUUUCUUCAAAAACCGACUCACAGUCGACUUAGUAACAUUUGCAUAAGAAGUAGCCUCUACCCAUUUUGUGAAGUAGUCAAUGACCAUGAAGAUAAACCGAUGUCCAUUUGAAGCUUUCGAUGAUAUUGGCCCAAUGACAUCCAUGCCCCACAUGGAAAAGGGCCAUGGAAAAGUCAUAACAUGUAGAGGUGAAGGUUGUACAUGUAUCUUGUCUCCAUAAAUCUGACAUUUAUGGCAUUUCUUGGCGUAGUUGAUACAAUCCCCUUCCAUGGUAGACCAAUAAUAUCCAAACCUCAUGAUUUAUCUAGCCAUCGUGAAACCAUUAGCGUGUGUCCGACAAACACCCUCGUGAACUUCUUCUAAAAUUAACUUAGCCUCCACGGCAUCAACACAUCUCAACAGUACUUGGUCCUUUAUCCUUUUGUACAAGAUGUCCCCAUCCAAAGCGUAAUCACAGGCUAAUCUCCUUAAAGUUCGCUUAUCAUUUUCAAUUGCCUAUUCUGGGUAUUUACGAUCUCUCACAUAUCGCAAUAUAUCCUGAUACCAAGGGUUAUCAUCAUUUUCUUCUUCCUCAUUGUUACAACAACAAGCUGGAGCCUCAAAAAUACUCAUCUGAAUGGGUCUCAUCUCCUCCUCUUUAUUGGCUCUAAUCAUUGAAGCCAAGGUUGCUAGAGCAUCUGCCAUCUGGUUUUCAUCUCGCGGGAUAUAAUUGAAAGUGAUGUCAUCGAACUCCUUAAGUAACCCCAAAACUAUCUUUCGAUAAUUGAUCAAUUUAGAAUCCCUUGUCUCCCAUUCACCUCUAAGCUGAUAAAUUACCAACGCAGAGUCUCCAUAUACUUCCAAGGUUCUUAUUCCUCGUGCUAUUGCUGCUUGGAGUCCCAUGAUGCAUGCUUCAUACUCGGCCAUAUUAUUUGUGCAAUCAAAAUCUAACUUGCACGUGAAUGGAUAAUAAUCGCCAUUCGGGGAUUCCAAAACUGCCCCAAUUCUAUUUCCCACUGUAUUGGAUGCCCCAUCAAAGCUCAACUUCCAAGGAUGAUCCUCUGUAGCUGCUACACACAUCAACUCCUCAUUUGGGAAAUCAAAAUUCAACGGCUCGUAGUCUUCUAGAGCUCUACUAGCUAGAAAUUCCGCUAUCUCACUUCCUUUUAUAGCCUUCUAACUCACAUAGACUAUGUCAAACUCUGAAAGCAGAAUUUGCCAUCUCGCCAUUCUCCCAUUCAACGCUAUUGACUCCAUCAUAUACUUCAAAGGGUCAAGUUUUGAAAUAAGCCAAGUAGUAUGAUAUAGCAUGUACUGUCUUAACCUCCGUGUUGUUCAAAUCAGAACGCAACACAAUUUUUUGAUAGGCGAGUAUCUCAUUUCACAUUCGGUGAAUUUCUUACUGAGGUAAUAUAUCGCCUUCUCCUUUCUUCCUGACUCAUCAUGCUGGCCAAGCACACAUCCCAUGGAAUUGCUGAAUACUGAUAAGUACAGUAUUAGUAGUCUAUUUGGACUGGGCGGGGAUAACACGGAGCAUUCAACAAGUACUGUUUGACCUUUGUAAAAGUAUUCUGGCAUUUCUCAUCCUAAGUGCCUUGAUUGUGCUUUCUAAGGAGGCGAAAGAUGGGAUCACACUUCUCAGUUAGUUGUGAAAUAAACCGGGCAAUGUAAUUCAGUCUUCCUAGAAAUCCUCGAACUUCCUUCUGAGUUUGUGGUGGAGGUAAUUCUCGUAUGGCUCCGACCUUGUCUUAGUCAACUUCAGUUCCCUUUUUACUGACUACGAAGCCUAAUAACUUUCCCGAUCUAGCUCCAAAUGUACACUUUGCUGGAUUGAGCUUCAACUGAAACUUUCUCAAUCUCAAGAACAAUCUUCUCAAGACCUCAAUGUGCUCUUUUUCUGUACGCGACUUGGCAAUCAUAUCAUCCACAUACACCUCAAUAUCCUUAUUCAUCAUAUCGUGAAACAAGUUCACUAUGGCCCGUUGGUAUGUUGCCCCCGCAUUCUUCAACUCAAACGGCAUCACUUUGUAGCAAAAGGUACCCCACAAGGUUAUGAAGGUAGUUUUAUCCAUGUCCUCUGGAUGCAUCUUUAUCUGAUUGUACCCCGAGAAACCAUCCAUGAAAAAGAACAACGAAUAUCCUGCCGUGUUGUCUACUAAAGUAUCAAUGUGUGGCAAAGGAAAAUUGUACUUUGGGCUAGCUUUGUUCUGAUCUCGGUAAUCAACGCACAUUCGUACCUUCCCAUCUUUCUUAGGAACAGGUACAAUGUUAGCUACCCAUUCUGAGUACUUUACCUCUUGUAAGAAACCCGCAUCGAACUGCUUCUUAACUUCGUCUUUUAUUUUCAGAACAAUAUCUGGCCUCAUUCUCCGCAACUUCUGUUGGACUGGCUUACAAUCCUGUCUUAUUGGAAGAUGAUGCACCACAAUAUCGGUAUUUAACCCUGGCAUAUCCUGAUAGGACCAUGCGAAGAUAUCCUUGAAUUCACGUAGCAACUCGAUCAGUCCUUGCCUUGUGUCUUUAGUAAUAAGUGUCUCAAUUUUCACAUCUUUCCCUUUCUCAAGGGCUACAUUCUCUAUUGCCUCUUUUUCAUGGGGCAUAAUUUGUUUCUCCUCCUAUUUUACCAUUCUCAACAGAUCCGGAGACACAUCACAAUCCUAGACAUCUUCAAAAUCCUAAGAUUCCUCUAAACACAUGUCUUGCUCGCGAGAGAAAUCAGGAUUUGUAAUAUCAAUGCUCAUGUCAUUGAUAUCCAGGGGCCUGUAAAGUAUAAAGAAUAUACAAAGAAUGAAUGAAUUGAAGAAUGAUUAUUUAUGUAUCAUGAAUGAAAGAAUAAGAAUUAAAAUUUUAACGGAAUAUUGGUUGAUAAAAAUGAAACAAUACUCAUUGAAAUUGAUAAAAGUUAUGUUUUAUUUAAAUAAUAAUAUAUAAACGUAAGCCUAUUUUCAAAAUGUAAUCCUAUUACUCCUAGGCUCUAGAGUAACAAGAAUGUUUCGAGAAUUACUCUGAAGAAUUCCUAAAGACUACAGGAAGUUCCUCCGCAGUCUAAUUGUUCAAAGAGCUUUCCGAUUCGUAAGGGCGAAUGCCCUCAAGGUUCCUUUGCUCCGAUCCUUUGUCGUGUGCAGCAUUAAUCUGAUGACUCUCCUCUACAAGUAAUCCUCUUGAUAUGAAGGUUUUGAAUAUAGGAGGGAAUGUCAUCGAUUCCCACCCCACUUCUCUUCCAUCUAAACGCGUCUUUCUCCUUUCUUGGCGCUUCUCGAUGUCUUUCCUUCUUUGCUUAUAGUCUGGCUUGAAGCCCAAACCAAAGCGGUCUUUCUUCUCAAUCAACUUGGGAUCUGAGUCCCUCCUUGCAGAUACUCUUCUAAACCUCUUCCUGGUAAGGCUCCCUUUCUCGCCAUCACUCGUAGAGCCAUCCUCGUAGCUUUUGCUAUCUUUGGCACCAAUAGCUUGCUUCCCUCCAAAUGAAAGUCGCAUUCACAAAUUCUAAAGAGCGGAAGGAGCACUCAAUAAACUCUUCAUUCGUCUCGACAUAAGGGGCUUUGCUAGUGACUGCGGCUAUAAUGUCCUCCUCCGUAUUGAUGGUUAUUAACCGUCCAUCGGUCACUAAUUUCAAUUUUUGGUGCAACGGCGAGGGCACCGCUCCCGCUGAGUGUAUCCACAGCCUGCCUAAUAAGCAAUUGUAGGAAGGCUUGAUAUCCAUUACCAAGAAGUCUACUUCAUACAUGUUCGGCCCAAUUUCUAAGGGAAUGUCAAUUCUUCCCAUCACCUUCCUUUCUGUAACCGUCGAAGGCUCUUACUACAUUCUGACAUGUCUUCAUGUGAGAAUCGUCAAUGGGUAAUCUGUUUAAUGUAGACAAUGGUAGAACAUUCAAAGCUGAUCUAUUAUCAACGAGCAUGAUUGAGAGUAUGUACCCCUUGCAUCGAGUGGUAAUAUGCAAGGCAUUAGUUGACCCUCUGCCCCCCGGUGGGAUUUCAUCAUCAUUAAAGUAGAUGAAAUUAUCCGCGCUAAUGUUGUUCACCAAUCGGUCCAGCUUAUUAACGGAUAUGUCAUGGGUGACAUAUGUUUCGUUAAGCACCUUCAUCAAUGCUUCCCUAUACGCCUCAGAACUCAAAAGUAGAGCCAAUACUGAUAUACGAGCCGGCUGCUUACGCAACUGCUCGACCACGCUAUACUCGCUAUGUUUAAGGAACUUUAGAAAUUCCUUAGUCUCCUCCUCAUUUACUGGCUCAUUGAUGGGUACUUCAGUCUCUUUCUCCUUCUUAACCUCGACACCUUUUGUUUUUGUGGGCUCCACUCUGAUGCCCCCGUAUCAUAACGCUUCCCACUCCGCGUGUGGGAACCUUCCACCUGCAUGUCUUUAGAUACACUAGCUAUAUUUCUUCCUCCGGCACUGUCACACUACAGUCAUAAUUCCAUGGUAUUCUCUUGCUAUCCUUGUAAGGGAAAUGAGUAGGUUUAUGGAUAAUGACCUUGGGUACGCUGGUGUCCCACUUCGUUAUUCCCUGGUAGGGAGAUGAUGAUCCUUGGCCGGCUGGUUCUUUUUUGCUCACCUUCCAGCACACUUAUUUCUCUUUUAUAAGAGCUACCUUCAAAAAUUGUAGCUCUUAUUAUCUAUAAAGCCUUGUACCAAGGUGCUGAAUUCUUCACAAUUUUGGGUCUCAUGACCCUCUUCUCCAUGGAACUCACAGUAGUUCUCCAUUUUUUCUCUUUCUUUCUAGAGGUUAUCAUCCCUCUCUUCAUCAUCUCCUCCUAAAUCACCUUCAUAGGCAUCCUCACCUCAGCAACAUUUUCCUUCAUCCUUCUUUUACUAGCUUCGCCAAUGGCAUUCACUCCUUGAUUGUCAUGAUUCGACAAAGAGUUUUCAGUAUUUGGGGUACUAUCAAAUUUCACAACCCCCAUCUUGAUCAACCUCUCCACGGCCUUCUUGAAUCCAGUACAAUUUUCAAUUGAGUGCCCCGAUAUUCCAGCAUGGUACUCGCAUCUAGCGUUUGCAUCAUACCAUUUAGGGUAUGGAGGCUGUAAUGGUUUCAAGUGGAAAGGAGCAAUAGCAUGUACAUCAUAUAAGCUUUGAUAAAGCUCACGAUACGUCACAGGGAUAGGUGUGAAUUGCAUCCUCUCGUGCCUUGUGCCCGAUUCCUGCCUUUGAGAACCCUAUUACCCAACCACAGCUACUUUGGGUUGACCAACUGUUACUACCUUCGAGUUGAAGCUACUUGUGUUGUUCACCUCAUUGUCUUUUCUCCUUGGGGCCGAUCUUUUGGCCGCUUCUCCCUCAAUUUUGCCACCUCUUAUGGCAUUCUCAAUCAUCUCUCCCGCCAUGACUAUGUCCGCAAAACUUUUGGUAGUGCUUCCAAUCAUGUGAGUAAUGAAUGGAUCCUUCAGAGUGUUGAUGAACAACAUUGUGAUCUUCUUCUCCAACAAUGGUGGCUGAACUUGCAUGGCAACCUCUCUCCAUCUUUGAGCAUAUUGCCUAAAAUUCUCAUUAGGCUUUUCUUCAUGUUUUACAGCAUGAUCCUAUCAGGCGUCAUGUCAGUCACAUGAUUGCACUGUUGCAUGAAGGCUUGUGCAAUAUCCCUCCAUGAAUUUAUUCUGGCCCGGCUCAACUGAUUAUACCACCUGGCUGCUGCUCCCACUAAGCUAUCUUGGAAAUAAUGAAUUAAUAGUUGAUCAUUGUUCACAUAUUCGGUCAUCCUCCUACAGAACAUCGUAAUGUGGGCCUCUGGACAAGUAGACCCGUUGUACUUUUCAAACUCUGACAUUUUGAAUUUAUGGGGAAGCACCAAGUCUGGGACCAAACUCAAGUCUUUGGCAUCAACUCCAUGAUACCCAUCAGCACUCUCUAGAGCCUUAAAUUUCUCCUCUAACCAUCUAUAAUGUUCUUCUAACUGUUUUGUAGCUUCGGCUCUCAAAUCCUCCUUUCAUUCAGCCACAUCCAAGUCAGGAAUGAGAGGAUUGGUAGGGUUGUCACCCAAAUUGAAUUUCGAACCAGUUGGAUUAUUCAUGUGGAUCCUAGCAUCAACCGGUCCAUGUUGAGGCCUCAUAGUGAAAGAUGGCCUUCUAGGAGGUGCCUCGAUUUGUGUAGGUCCGUGGGGUGGAGUAAAGCCUGGAGGAUAAUCCUCUUCCUCCUCUCCAGUAAUUGCCAUAGGGGCUUUUCCCUUAUUAGUGGCCCUUAGCAACUGAGCCAUCUCAGUCAUCAUAUUCCUCUGAGCCUCUAACAUUUGCUCCCUCAUGUCAUUUUUGCAUCUUGGCCAAUUGCUCUUGCAAUUGGUCUUGCAUAUCCUUUUGUAGCUGUUCAAACUUUGAUCCAUAUUCCUAGAUUUUGCACGAGUUUCGUAUUGAUGCGUGGUUUCCAGAUUUUCUUUUCUACUUCUGUGGUGAUUUUAACUAAUUAGGGUCUUUCUAGUAACUUUGAAUGCAAAUAAUGCAAUAAAAUGCUAUGAGAUGCAAAUGCAUGAAUGCAAAAAGUACAUCGAUUCUGAUUCAAUCUCAUUUAGAAAAAUUUAUUUAGAAAAAUAAUAUCUUUACAUAUAAGAGGAUUACAAAUAUGCUUUCGCCUAAUGCCCAAAGUUUUACUCUAUCUAAUAAAAGGGCUAACUCUCGUCUUUUAUCCGACGAUGACUCAUACAUUAAACUCAAUACAUCAGCUCGUAUUGCCAAGUCUUGCACGGUGUUCAGCAACCUCUCGAAUCUGGGCUACAGCUUCUCCAAUGACGUGAUCCCUUUCUCUGACCUGUCCUCUAGACUGAUGAAGCUCUCCCUUCAAAUGAUCUUCUCGUACCCCAAAGCUGCUCGAUUAAGAGCUUGCUAUCCUGCAAUGCUGAUUCAACUCCUCAACUUUGCCAUUAAUUUUUUUACCUCAACUAUAGAAUCACGACUUCGAUGCAGAUGAAGGGAUCGCCCGAGCUCAAUUACUUUAGUCUUUAAACCUUGAUUUUCUUUUUCUAAGGUCAAAUUCUGCGAUUGCAUCUCGUGGAACUUCUUCUCCCAAUAUUCGCCUUUAGGUUUUUCCUUUUGGACCUCCUUCUGCCUUUGAUCUGAAAACCUUCUAGUCCUGCUCUCUUCAAAGCUACUUGUGCGCUUUGUAGUGCUCCUUUAAAUCGUCUCGGUCCUCAUCGAUCUUCCUUUUUUCUUUCCUCUCUUUCUCGACCUCCAUCUUUUGAACGUCGAGGUCUAGGCUCAAGUACAUCUUUUCCUCUUCGACCUUUGCUAUCUCUUUUUCGAGCUUUAAUUUCUUUCCCUUGAACUCUUACUUCAUGAUCUCUAAUUCCGAGGGCAUCACUUGCAAGUAUUCCUCCAUCGGGCCGAGCUUCUUCCAUGCUUGGCCUAGGGAUAUUGUCAUUAAUCCUUCUACUCUUCCACUCAAUGUACUCAGGGUCGUAGUAGGGUUAAUGGCUACUCCUUUCAAUCUACAAGUCUGGUUCUAAGCACUAGAGAUCUCACUAACCUUCUUCUUGUAAUCAGCUCUUCUAUACAAGACUCACUUUGAGCCAGUCCAUGAGUUGCUGGUACGAACUGCCUCAAUCCAUACUUCCUCACACCAGCAAAAGGGGCAUAACCAAUAGCACCUCAAUACCAACAGAGGGACCCAAUCAAAACUGCCGCAUCGGUAAAGGAUCUCACCAGGAAUCAUCUAUGGAGCCCUCCACUCUACGUCCUUUGACUGCAGAUUCUAGUAUGCUAUCCAAUUUUUUCCAGGAACAUCAACUUUCCUAGUUGAAGCUGCUAUGUCCUUCAACAGAGAGCAACCCCGAAGAAGACCUGACAAACCACCUUAUCUAUCAAUCAGAAGUGACUGUAGAACCAAGCUAAAAGUAACUGAGCACAACCAACAAACCCCCUGGCCCUUCUACAAGCAUUCAAGGACCUGGAUGUCUCCGCCAAAAUUGCAAGAACAGAAGUGACCUUUUGCUAAGUCGAUGGAAGAGAUCCGUGGUCGCCUCGUCCACAUAUCCCAAGACCUUGGGGAAAACCAUCAAUUCGUAUAAGCUUAAGGCAAAAAUGCCUACCCUCUUCACCUCGUCUGGAUGUGUCUGGAUCAGAUCUUUCAAAGCUCCCCACGGGAUGCACUUACUCUCACCCUUUCCUUAAUUCUAGCCAUGAUCCACUGCUCGCUCAUCCCCGUAAUAGUCAUCAACUUCUUACCAAAGGUUGGGACACAAGCAACUCGAGAAUAAAUCCUAUCAUACUGAAAUCUAGGACACCGAAGUAACGCUGUGUACUCCUCCAUAGUAGGCACUAAAUCUACCUCCCCAAAGGUAAAACAACUGUAUGCUGGGUUCCAGAACUGAGCGAGAGCUUGAAACAAGUUCUCAUCAACCUGAAUAUCAAACAAAUAGGGCAAAAUCUCCGUACUUACCAUAGAAUGAUUGCUUGGUCUCAUUGCCCCACUGAUCCCAAAUCGCCUUAAGCUCCUGCAGAUUAUUCUGUGUAACACUGGUGCGAGUGUAGUCUGACAACUCCGACACAUAUCCCGCAGUUAUGCUAUCCCCUUUUCCUAGCUAAGUUUGCUCUGACCAUUUAUGGACGUUAGCGUUGCCCUCCACUCUAUCAAGAAGUCCGUUCUCCAUAAUAAAACUUUCUAACUUAGAAACUGACCAUGAAUCGAUACCUUUUAAAUGCAAAAUGACAUGCAAUGAAAAAAAGAAAUAGUCAGUAUCACAUGAUAUUAAUAACACAAAGAUAACCUAAUUAUAAUUCUAUCUAUAUUGAGCUCUUACGGUUUUUCUAUAUGUGGUUUGUUUCUAAAGUUUGAGGUACCUGAACCAGUAGAUUCCUCGAUCCUCACCCAUUAUAGGCUCAUUUGAAUCGAGUUCAGUUCAGGGGAAUACAUGUCCCUAUAGCUACACGGAGAUGAAAAUCUAACGAAACCGUAGGCACGGAUGUAUCCUGAAAGUGAUCCACUAUCUUGCACGGAGGCGAAAACCUCACGAAGGCUUAGCUUUUCACUCCCACUUAAGGGUGUGACCACAACGGUCAUGCAAAUGCAAUGCGUAUCAGAAUAUAGCAACACAUGCAAUAAUACAAACACAUGUAAUGCAAAGAGGAUUAAAUUUUAAAAUUUUUAAUUUCCGACAUUAAGAUAAGAGAUAAUCAAUUACACGGCUUAACUCUCUUAUUAGUCCCCAGCGGAGUCGCCAAGUUGUCGAGAUCAUUUUUAAAUCGAGUUUUGGAAAAUAGGAAUUUACUUUAAGAAAAAUGAAAACAGGAGUCGCCACCAAUCUUUUUAGGUGUGAUUGGAUCACCAAUAAAUCGUUUUGUUUAAAAUCAUUAGUUUUGGUCUACGAGAUCAGAAAAUGGGUUCGGGAGUCGGUUACAAACGAGGAAGGGUUAGCACCCUCAUAACGCCCAAAAAUUGGUACCUAAUUGAUUAUCAAGUGUCUUUAAUGUCGGAAUUUGAAGUUUUAAGAUACAAUCCUCUUUUAUUUAGAAUGUUUUGAUUUGAAAAUUUAGGUCUUAUUUUAAACAAGUCAAAUAUCACAUCCAGUAAGUUAGGAAGUAAUAUUUUAAAACUUUGAAGCUAAGCUUGUCUUUUGAAAAUUUUCUAUUUCGAAACUACAAAACAUCAUCCAGUAAGUUAGGACACCAUGUUUGAAAUUCCAAAAUAGUUAUUUGUAUUUUAAAAUUCAAAAACUUAGAAGGGUGCUAGAUUAUCAAAUCAAUGAGAAAAGUUGCAACCAGUAAGUUAGGGCAACUCUUCUCGAAGCUUCCAAAUACCAAACAUUGCCUUUUUAUUUUUUGAAAACUUGGAAUCUCGUUUUAAAUGAUGGAGAAGAUACAUUAUAAAUCAGCAGAUAACAUAUUAUCGCUACAGGUAAAUAAAACAUGCAUUUAAACAUAUGAAGCAAUAAUAUAAAGAUCAUACAUUAGACGUACAUAAAAAAUAAUAAAUAUAGCAAAUCUUAACCACAUACGUACAAAGAUAUACAUAGCAUAUAUUAAAGAUGAAUAGCAAAACAUAACAAACAUACAAAGUAAUAAUUAAUUUAAAAAUGAUGCAUGAUAUACAAUUUAAUUUAAACAAAAAAAAGUAAUAUAAUACUAUGUCAUAAAAUAAACAUCAAAUAAUAAUUAUAAAAAACAUUUAAUAUAAAUGAUAUAUACAAUAUAAAAAUAUAUAAAAGAAUUAGUAUAUAAAAAUAUAAAUAAAGUGAGUAAUGUUAACAAAAUAUACAUAUAAUACAAAUAAAAUAGAUAUUUAUAAUAAUUUAAAAUAGUAUUUAAUAUAUAAUAUAAAAUAAUAAUAANNNNNNNNNNNNNNNNNNNNNNNNNNNNNNNNNNNNNNNNNNNNNNNNNNNNNNNNNNNNNNNNNNNNNNNNNNNNNNNNNNNNNNNNNNNNNNNNNNNNNNNNNNNNNNNNNNNNNNNNNNNNNNNNNNNNNNNNNNNNNNNNNNNNNNNNNNNNNNNNNNNNNNNNNNNNNNNNNNNNNNNNNNNNNNNNNNNNNNNNNNNNNNNNNNNNNNNNNNNNNNNNNNNNNNNNNNNNNNNNNNNNNNNNNNNNNNNNNNNNNNNNNNNNNNNNNNNNNNNNNNNNNNNNNNNNNNNNNNNNNNNNNNNNNNNNNNNNNNNNNNNNNNNNNNNNNNNNNNNNNNNNNNNNNNNNNNNNNNNNNNNNNNNNNNNNNNNNNNNNNNNNNNNNNNNNNNNNNNNNNNNNNNNNNNNNNNNNNNNNNNNNNNNNNNNNNNNNNNNNNNNNNNNNNNNNNNNNNNNNNNNNNNNNNNNNNNNNNNNNNNNNNNNNNNNNNNNNNNNNGUAAAAAAUGCCAAUACCUUCAUGUCAUGAAUAAACCUGAGUUUCUUUAUGACAUACAUAACUCUUCCUGGCGAUGUGAUGUAAGAUAGGUUUAACAUCAAUUAAAGAUGACAUAUAGAGGGUAUGAUUGCUUCUAGGAUAGUUUUUUCCCCAUUUUCUUGGUUGACAUCUAAUCAAAUAUUCAGCAUUCCAACAGAAGAAAAACAUAUUACCUCUCUACAUGUCUGCCCACAAAAGGAAGGACAAACGGUUCGAAUCAAUAUGAAUCUCAUCUUUCACUUCGAUGCAUAAUUUGUGGGUCUGCAAAAGUGGAAAGGAUCAGAAUAUUAUUGAAACAGAAAUCAAGGAAACUACACAGCAACUUCAAAACUGCAAAGAAUUGAGAACACUAAAAGGAAGAGAAUCAGUACAUCUUUUCUCAAACAGGCUGCAAGUGGAAGGGCGCAAUCAGUUAUCUCAUCCUCUUGAGCAAUGCAGCUGCCAUUACUACAAAUUGCAUAUACAAUUUGGACAGUGCCAAUCACCCGCUGGUAGGAACUGUGAAAGUGCAUAUGUAAAAAGCUAAGUGAAGCUACGCAGCAUUGUUAACGAGCAAGAGCCAAGUUAUGUAGAACUACUAAUCAGUAUAAGUCAACAAGCACCAAGGUCAAAAAAGCAAACUUUCAACCAGGAGAAUAAAUUCAAAUAAUUUUUCAAUUUAAAACAACAGAUACUGUAAGAAGGAUAAACUUUUUUCACUUCAUCUUUUGGAAGGCAAUUAAAAGCCAAUAGUUUUCAGGUCAUCAAAAUGUAAGACAGAAAGCAAUUAAUAUAUUUAUUGGUCAUAGUUGAAAAUUUUUAUAUGGGAGCAUUAUUAAGCGACUGAAAAAUAUUUCUUACAUUAAAAUAAAAAACAUUGCGCAUACCAACUGAGGGAGCAGGUACUAAGAACAGUCAGCUAGGAGAAAAACAUUCAGGAAAAGGUACGUCUUCCAGAAGUCAUAGAAAGAAAAGAUAUAUGCCGCAUAAAUUACAUGUCCAACUGCUAAUCUAAGGACUAUUCAGAAUUCCCUUAAAUUCUGUUUGGCUCUAAACAUAUUUAGGGAUCCCUAACCAUAAGCUCAAUAGUUAAGACCUUCAAAAAAACAUAACUAUUGACUUAAAGAAAGAAAUUGUAUUACCAAACAACAUUUGUAGAUCAAAUGGGUCAUUAGCUCCAUUAAAUUAACACAACCGCUAUUUCUCAAGAGGAAGCAAGAAGAUAGUUGGAAUCAGGCUAGGAAAGGGGACGGGGGAGAGAAAUAAAUAAUGAUCUAUGUAAACUAAAGAACCCAAGAUCCAUGAGUUGGAGUAGUCACACUUCAAGUAUCCCCUAAAUUCUCUACCACUAAGAGCAAUCUCUUCAACUACAAACCUGCAUUAAUCUCUAUAACUGAUCCAGAAGUCUACAAGGAACACUUAUAGAAAAAGAAAGCAAACAAGAGACUCAACACCAUUAUAAAUAUAAAACACUAGAUAGCUGGUGCAAAAAUUAUGCAGAAGUACCUCUAUAUUGAGGCAGCUCUGAUGAAAUGUUGAGGGACAACUGUCACAACAUAUCAGAUCCCCACCAUCUCCACAAAUGCCACAAGUAUUAUCAUUGGGGUCAUCACCAUUUACGUCUACAGAAUGAAAACCAAUCUGCUCAGACUCCCUUGUCUGUUCCAUGCAUCUAUUUGGCACUGAAGGAGAGAAACACCAGAAUCCAAAUAUAUAUUCUGAAAUGGUUGUCGUAAUUUGCUUCCAGCAUGAAUCUCAAAUUUUGAAACUGUGAGGAUUUUACUACAACCACCAGUGGAUUCCAUCCCUUGUGAUCCAGCCCUCUAGCAUCACUUUUGUUCUCCUACGAUUCAUAUACUGCACCUUUUCGCUCAACUGCACAGCCCCAGAAUCAAUCAGCCAGGCAAGCAGUGUUCUUCUCCCAGAAUAUGGAACAAAGUCAUCACCCUCUGAACUCAGAUCUUACGGAUUUGCGGUGUAGAGAACCAGCGAGGGCGAAAUCCCGAACAGCCACUCACCAGAUCCUCAUCAUCUUUCUUCUUUUGGUCCUCAGCCGUACAGAUCUUGGAGGAUCCAAAGCAGCUGCAGGACGGCUUCAGCAUAUGAGAUCGAAAGACAUGAUUCCUUCCCCCCCCCCCCGACAGAAGCAAAAGGAAGAGGCUAGGGUUUUAAUUGAACGUUGAAAAGGAAAUUGGAACAGUCAAAUUGCACAUCGCAUCUCUUCCAUUGGUUGAGACUAAAGGUGGGUAGGCAUCAAAUCUUCAAGAGAGAAAAUUUAUGAGAAGGGGAUUUUGAUCGGUGAAAACAAAGGGAAUAGAAUCAGGGUUUUUAGC